CCUUGGCCCUGGCAUCGCGACGCGUUCCUUGCGGUAGAUAGGGUUACAUUUUUGAUAUUCAAUGACUCAAGUGAAAUUGAACAUACAUGAGAAACAUAUCUGCCGCAUACGAUCAUUUUCGGAAGUACGGUCUUCUGCUGUUUCCUGCUAAGCAUGACAUCAGUCCACAGAAAAGGGUUAACUAGUAGUGUAUUCCAUCAUCAUUGAUUAUUCUGUACAAAAUUAAUCAGAUCAACCUGGUCCUGGGAAUCCCCGGAAGUAGCAACCCCAAUGAGGACAAACAGGAUACCAAUGACUUUCUUCCCAUGAUAUAAAAAAAAAAAAAAUAAAAGAUAAAAGUUAAGGUACGCGAUAACCCCACCGCAGUAGUUUGACUGGGUU
rnacentral:sRNA from 1 species